rnacentral:lncRNA from 1 species
GGGAGCCCAGAGCCGAGCCGCCAGCCCUGCCGUUCACUUCCAGGACAAUUUCGCCGCCCUGGCAGGGACCUUAUUCCGGAGCAGUCACGCCUCGCUCCCCCGCCACCUGGCACAACCCACCCUCUGUCUCCGGGUGACAUCUCCUGCCUGUGGCCACCCCUCCUGCUCGGCACGGCACUUUCCGGGCUGCUCCACGCGGCUCCUCUCCACGGCGGGCUGGUCUCUUGCCUCCGGAUUCCUCCACAUCCGGGCACUCCUGCUGGGCUGCCACCAGCUGGACUGAGUCCCAGCCCAGGCCAGACGGGGUGCAGCUCCCCGACCUCCCAGCUGGGCCCCUCACCAGGCUCAUGCGGGUGGCCGAUGCCAUCGCACUUGCAAGCCUGUCUCCCCGCAGAUGAAGGGACCGAGGACAGCCCAGCUCCUCCGCGCCCUCUGCGGCUGGCUGGUGUCCCCUCACAGGGCAGGAGGGAGGCAGGUGCUCAGGGCCUCUCUUCCCCCCCAUCACGUCACACACUGAGAGCUGUGCGAUAGAUGGGGAUUUGAGUCUCGUUCAAUGCCAUUAACGGAUGGCACAAGAAGUGGCAGCCUUAGGGCAGUCCCCAAAAUGUUUUCUUUCAUUAUUUUUAUGAUCCGGGAACCGCCCCACACAAGAGAGCUGGAAUCCUCUGGUCUUGAUCCUCGGGAGGAAACUGUGACAGGAGAGGGGCAGGCGUCCUCCCCGCUUUCCAAACGAGACCGGGCUCCGCUGGACUGCGGAAUGGCCCAGAGUCCCCAGCAGGGCCCGGCCCACCCCGUGCUGCUCCGAGGGUCUGUCGCACAGAACAGCGGGAAACGAGCAUUCAAUCGUCGUCGUCGUCCAGGGCAUAAACCCAAGGUGGGAGAGAGGAAAACAACCCCGCUGGGGCCCAACCUUAGAGGAGGCGCCCGGUGGGCAAGGCCGAGUGGGAGAGAAAGGCUGACUGGGACCUGGUCCCCCCAGGAUCUCGGGGCGCCCAUGGUGGGAAACACGGACCGUGGCCGCGAAUGCAGGAGUGCAGAGCGUGACUGCGGGGGAAGAGCUGUCCGUUGCGGGGCAUGA